UACCAAGACAUAUAUGUACAUGUAAUAUGUAGUUUUGUAUGUUGUGUUAAUACUACAUCACAUUUUUCAAAAUGAUAACACGUACAGUGAUUCUUCUGAAGACAUGACACAAAUUUAAUAUUAAUAGGCCAUAAAUUGGGUUUGUUUUUACACUUUUAACACUUUUGUCUCCUCUUUCUUACUCACAUUACAGAUGCAGAGAUUGCCGUUACAGUUGAUGGUACAUUAAAGGUCUUCCUGUCCAUUCUCAUUGACUUAAUUGCAGACUUCUUACUAGCUCUUGUUGUUCACAGAGACUCGUGGCAGAUAUAUGAUGCUAUUGUAAUUCAUCCUUGUGAGCCAGGAGUAACUGAAUGGAUCAAUGUCUAUAACCUAAAACGGUAAAGUCAUUUA